rnacentral:rRNA from 1 species
GACGAACGCUGGCGGCGUGCCUAAUACAUGCAGGUAGAACGCUGAAGCUUGGUGCUUGCACCGAGCGGAUGAGUUGCGAACGGGUGAGUAACGCGUAGGUAACCUGCCUGGUAGCGGGGGAUAACUAUUGGAAACGAUAGCUAAUACGGCAUAAGAGUAGAUGUUGCAUGACAUUUGCUUAAAAGGUGCAAUUGCAUAACUACCAGAUGGACCUGCGUUGUAUUAGCUAGUUGGUGAGGUAACGGCUCACCAAGGCAACGAUACAUAGACGACCUGAGAGGGUGAUCGGCCACACUGGGACUGAGACACGGCCCAGACUCCUACGGGAGGCAGCAGUAGGGAAUCUUCGGCAAUGGACGGAAGUCUGACCGAGCAACGCCGCGUGAGUGAAGAAGGUUUUCGGAGCGUAAAGCUCUGUUGUAAGAGAAGAACGAGUGUGAGAGUGGAAAGUUCACACUGUGACGGUAUCUUACCAGAAAGGGGCGGCUAACUACGUG